AGUCGAACGCCCUCUUCGGAGGGAGUGGCAGACGGGUGAGUAACGCGUGGGAACCUACCUUUCGGUACGGAACAACAGUUGGAAACGACUGCUAAUACCGUAUACGUCCUUCGGGAGAAAGAUUUAUCGCCGAUAGAGGGGCCCGCGUUGGAUUAGCUUGUUGGUGAGGUAACGGCUCACCAAGGCGACGAUCCAUAGCUGGUCUGAGAGGAUGAUCAGCCACACUGGGACUUAGACACGGCCCAGACUCCUACGGGAGGCAGCAGUGGGGAAUAUUGGACAAUGGGCGCAAGCCUGAUCCAGCCAUGCCGCGUGAGUGAUGACGGCCCUAGGGUUGUAAAGCUCUUUCAGUGGUGAAGAUAAUGACGGUAACCACAGAAGAAGCCCCGGCUAACUCCGUGCCAGCAGCCGCGGUAAUACGGAGGGGGCAAGCGUUGUUCGGAAUUACUGGGCGUAAAGCGCGCGUAGGCGGGUCUUUAAGUCAGAGGUGAAAUCCUGGAGC
rnacentral:rRNA from 1 species